ACUGCUCAGUAACACGUGGACAACCUACCCUUGGGUCUGGCAUAAUCCUGGGAAACUGGGUAUAAUUCCGGAUAGGUCACAGAUGCUGGAAUGCACUGUGGCCGAAAGCUCCGGCGCCCAAGGAUGGGUCUGCGGCCUAUCAGGGUUGUAGUGGGUGUAACGGACCUACUAGCCUACGACGGGUACGGGUUGUGAGAGCAAGAGCCCGGAGAUGGAUUCUGAGACACGAAUCCAGGCCCUACGGGGUGCAGCAGGCGCGAAAACUUUACAAUGCUGGCAACAGCGAUAAGGGAACCUCGAGUGCCAGGUUACAAAUCUGGCUGUCGAGAUGCCUAAAAAGCAUUUCAUAGCAAGGGCCGGGCAAGACCGGUGCCAGCCGCCGCGGUAACACCGGCGGCUCGAGUGGUAACCGUUAUUAUUGGGUCUAAAGGGUCUGUAGCCGGCCGGAUAAGUCUCUUGAGAAAUCUGGCAGCUUAACUGUCAGGCUUUCAGGAGAUACUGUCUGGCUCGAGGCCGGGAGAGGUGAGAGGUACUUCAGGGGUAGGGGUGAAAUCUUGUAAUCCUUGAAGGACCACCAGUGGCGAAGGCGUCUCACCAGAACGGACCUGACGGCAAGGGACGAAAGCUAGGGGCACGAACCGGAUUAGAUACCCGGGUAGUCCUAGCCGUAAACGAUACUCGCUAGGUGUCGGCCACGGUGCGACCGUUGUCGGUGCCGUAGGGAAGCCGUGAAGCGAGCCACCUGGGAAGUACGGCCGCAAGGCUGAAACUUAAAGGAAUUGGCGGGGGAG
rnacentral:rRNA from 1 species